CUUCUCUUUCUCUCCCGCCGCUGGAACGCUACUCGUUCCCAAAUCCCAAUCCAUCGAACACACGGAUAGAGUCGCGUCGGAGGACAAUGAAGAUGGUCUCGUCGUGCUCGCAGCCGUGCGCAGCUCGACUCCUCUCGAAGACGGGCUUCUGUGGAUACAUCGGUCUCCGGCCAUUUCCUUCGUUUUCCGAGAACGAUGAGCCUUCGCGAUGGAGAUCCUCUUUGCCAUAUCGCUUUCCGCCCUCGGCGUUCAGGUUGCAGAACUCAUGGCAUGCAUGGCGGAAAAUAAGAAUCUCAGUUAUUGUAGGAUUGUAGAGGUGAUUGCUGAAACAACUGCACCAUUGCUGCCUAUGGAGGAGCUUCUUGCCAAGAUAAAGUCUGACAGCAAGCCAUAUCCUAUCUACCAAUGAAACUUAAUUAUGAGUUAGCCAUGCUCCAUCUCUUUCAGAGCUUGCUCCUUCUGGUGCUGAUCCUAAACCUACCAAGCCAAUAGUGAAGGAUGAACCUGCAAACGUGCAAGAGCAAAUGAUCGCUCCACUUUCUCCUUAUGCUAUGCGAGCCACUUUUUACGAUCACAUAUGAUGCUGGAAACAUAACCCGUGAACUUGAAGUGUUUUAUAUAAAUAGGUAUGAAGAUUUGAAACCACCUUCCUCUUCCUCUGCCACCCAAAUCACUGCUUCUGCCAAGACAAGUGCAAUGGAUGUAUUACUAGGGGAAUCCAUAACAGAAAAUGGUCCAACUACGAUAAAUCCAGUCCUUUCAGCCGCAACACAACCUCAUGCAGUUGCCAAUACUAACUUGAAUCACCGAUCGCCAUUUCCUAUGCAAGAGAAACAAAAGAACCGGGUCAAACAAGAAGACGUGCAACAAGUUGAAACAAGUUCAAGUACAUCACUUAUCUUUUAAAUAUAUGUAUAUUAUGUCAUUGAACUAUCCUUUUGGUCCAACAUCUCCAACAGAGACAUCGACGCCUCAACCAUUUCAUUUUUCUCCACAUAUUAAUUAAAUCCGUUCACUGUAUCCCUUUUUCCUCGAUUUCAGUUUAAUUUAUCCAUGUUCUAUAAAUAAUCUCGUCUCUCUGCAAUGAACAUGAACUUGAGGAUGAUAAGGAGGAGAGGCUAGGUGAGAGCAUGAUGUUGGUACGGCUCAAUCAAAUCAUCCUGAUUUAUUCUGAGUAUUUUAAAUUUAUAGUUCGAUCCGAUUGAGCCGUGCCAAUAUCAAACUUUGCCCGGUCUAUUUCGGAAAAGAGAAGUUUAAUGCUAUUGUGCUGCAGGUUUGUAUAUGAGUGGCUCCUGUAGUAUAUCAGUCCAAGGUAUGUAUUUUU